rnacentral:lncRNA from 1 species
UUAAAUUUUAAUUUUUAAUUUAAGUUCAAAUUAAAAUUUAAAAUUAUAUAUUUAAUUUUUAAAUUAUAACUCAUAUUUUAAUUAAAAAAGUUGAAAAAAUAAAUUUAAUCCGAAUAAAUAUCCAUUCCGUCCGGAUUCAACUUUCAAUCCGACCUCUUAGGCCGGAUUGAAAAAUGAGGUGAUUGGGGGAUUCCCAUUCCGCUCGGGAAUCAGAAUCGGAAUGGGACUCCCGCGUACCAAACACCUACAAACGGAUUCACCUAUUCCGAUUCUGAUUUUAGGGUGAAAAAAAAUGAACCAAACACGCCUAAAAUAAUAUAUAAUUAAUAUAUUUAAUAUUAAGUAUUAGAUAUU